rnacentral:rRNA from 1 species
UACGUAGGGUGCGAGCGUUAAUCGGAAUUACUGGGCGUAAAGCGUGCGCAGGCGGUUUUGUAAGCCAGAUGUGAAAUCCCCGGGCUUAACCUGGGAAUGGCAUUUGGGACUGCAAGGCUCGAGUGCGGCAGAGGAGACUGGAAUUCCUGGUGUAGCAGUGAAAUGCGUAGAUAUCAGGAGGAACACCGAUGGCGAAGGCGGGUCUCUGGGCCGUAACUGACGCUGAGGAGCGAAAGCGUGGGGAGCGAACAGG